CUUGAACGCUGGCGGCGUGCUUAACACAUGCAAGUCGAUCGGUAACAGGUGUAGCAAUACAUGCUGACGAGAGGCGGACGGGUGAGGAAUAUUUGGGAAUCUGCCCAUCAGCGGGGGACAACCCGGGGAAACCCGGGCUAAUACCGCAUACGCUCUACGGAGGAAAGCCGGGGACCGCAAGGCCUGGCACUGAUGGAUGAGCCCAAAUCGGAUUAGCUAGUUGGCGGGGUAACGGCCCACCAAGGCGACGAUCCGUAGCUGGUCUGAGAGGACGAUCAGCCACACCGGAACUGAGACACGGUCCGGACUCCUACGGGAGGCAGCAGUGGGGAAUAUUGGACAAUGGGGGAAACCCUGAUCCAGCGACGCCGCGUGGGUGAAGAAGGCCUGCGGGUUGUAAAGCCCUUUCGGUAGGGACGAAAGCUCUUGCUCUAACAAGGCAGGAGGUUGACUUAACCUACAUAAGAAGCACCGGCUAACUCUGUGCCAGCAGCCGCAGUAACAC
rnacentral:rRNA from 1 species